rnacentral:rRNA from 1 species
CCUACGGGUGGCAGCAGUGAGGAAUAUUGGUCAAUGGACGGAAGUCUGAACCAGCCAUGCCGCGUGCAGGAAGACGGCUCUAUGAGUUGUAAACUGCUUUUGUACAAGGGUAAACCGGAAGACGUGUAGUCAGCGGAAAGUACGGUACGAAUAAGGAUCGGCUAACUCCGUGCCAGCAGCCGCGGUAAUACGGAGGAUCCAAGCGUUAUCCGGAUUUAUGGGGGUGAAAGGGUGCGUAGGCGGAUUGAUAAGUUAGAGGUGAAGUGUCCGUGCUUAACUCGGGAACUGCCUCUCAUACUGUUGCUCUAGAGCGUAGAUGCGGUAGGCGGACUGUAUGUUGUAGCUGUGAACUGCUU